rnacentral:rRNA from 1 species
UACGUAGGCAGCGAGCGUUGUUCGGAGUUACUGGGCGUAAAGGGUGUGUAGGCGGUUCUCUAAGUUUGGUGUGAAAUCUCCCGGCUCAACCGGGAGGGUGCGCCGAAAACUGGGGGACUCGAGUGCGGGAUGGGAGAGUAGAAUUCCCGGUGUAGCGGUGAAAUGCGCAGAUAUCGGGAAGAACACCCGUGGCGAAGGCGGCACUCUGGGACGGUACUGACGCUGAGACGCGAAAGCGUGGGGAGCGAACAGG